AACGCACAUUGCGCCCCGUGGCAUUCCGCGGGGCAUGCCUGUCCGAGCGUCAUUGCACCUCUCAAGCGCUGGCUUGGUGUUGGGCGUGGCCUGUUGGCCUGCCCCAAAGGCAGUGGUGGCGCCGCCUGGCCCCGAGCGUAGUACGUCUCUCGCUCCGGGGCCACGCGGCCGCCCGCCAGGACAACCACCGGUUGACCUCGGAUCAGGUAGGGAUACCCGCUGAACUUAA
rnacentral:misc_RNA from 1 species